GCGCCCGUAGCUCAGCUGGAUAGAGCAUCAGGCUUCGAACCUGAGGGUCGGGCGUUCGAAUCGCUCCGGGCGCACCA
rnacentral:tRNA from 1 species